GCGGCUCGCUAAGACUAUGGCGUCCGGGCCUCAUUCGACAGCUACUGCUGCCGCCGCCGCCUCAUCGGCCGCCCCAAGCGCGGGCGGCUCCAGCUCCGGGACGACGACCACGACGACGACCACGACGGGAGGGAUCCUGAUCGGCGAUCGCCUGUACUCGGAAGUUUCACUCACCAUCGACCACUCUCUGAUUCCGGAGGAGAGGCUCUCGCCCACCCCAUCCAUGCAGGACGGGCUCGACCUGCCCAGCGAGACGGACUUACGCAUCCUGGGCUGCGAGCUCAUCCAGGCCGCCGGCAUUCUCCUCCGGCUGCCGCAGGUGGCGAUGGCAACGGGGCAGGUGUUGUUUCAUCGUUUUUUCUACUCCAAAUCUUUCGUCAAACACAGUUUCGAGAUUGUUGCUAUGGCUUGUAUUAAUCUUGCAUCAAAAAUCGAAGAAGCACCUAGAAGAAUAAGAGAUGUGAUUAAUGUAUUCCACCACCUCCGCCAGUUAAGAGGAAAAAGCGACCAGCUACAUUUACCAAAGCCUGGGUGAUGUGGAGUGGUACAUAGAGAUGAAGCUGUCGUCAUGGCAACAGACUCCAAGCCCCCUGAUCCUUGAUCAGAACUACAUUAACACCAAAAAUCAAGUUAUCAAAGCAGAGAGGAGGGUGCUAAAGGAGUUGGGAUUUUGUGUUCAUGUCAAGCAUCCUCAUAAGAUCAUUGUUAUGUAUUUACAAGUCUUAGAAUGUGAACGUAAUCAAACCCUGGUUCAAACUGCCUGGAAUUACAUGAAUGACAGUCUUCGAACCAAUGUGUUUGUUCGAUUUCAACCAGAGACUAUAGCAUGUGCUUGCAUCUACCUUGCAGCUAGAGCACUUCAGAUUCCAUUGCCAACUCGUCCCCAUUGGUUUCUUCUUUUUGGUACUACAGAAGAGGAAAUCCAGGAAAUCUGCAUAGAAACACUUAGGCUUUAUACCAGAAAAAAGCCAAACUAUGAAUUACUGGAAAAAGAAGUAGAAAAAAGAAAAGUAGCCUUACAAGAAGCCAAAUUAAAAGCAAAGGGAUUGAAUCCGGAUGGAACUCCAGCCCUUUCAACCCUGGGUGGAUUUUCUCCAGCCUCCAAGCCAUCAUCACCAAGAGAAGUAAAAGCUGAAGAGAAAUCACCAAUCUCCAUUAAUGUGAAGACAGUCAAAAAAGAACCUGAGGAUAGACAACAGGCUUCCAAAAGCCCUUACAAUGGUGUAAGAAAAGACAGCAAGAGAAGUAGAAAUAGCAGAAGUGCAAGUCGAUCAAGGUCAAGAACACGAUCACGUUCUAGAUCACAUACUCCAAGAAGACAGUAAGUAAAUGUUUUCUUAGGGAAGCAGUCUUAUUUGGAGUUUUUAAAGGUUAUUGCUUUUUCUUUAAAAAUUGAACAUAGAUUAUUUUCAAAGUUAGGUUAGAAUUAGGCUUUUAAUAUGAGGCAAAUUAUGAGAAAUGAGUUUGGAGAUGUUCCGGACAUACAGUAUCUUAAUGGCAUUCUGUUAUAUUUUCUCCCAUGUUGUUUGGAAAAGCGUAGGAGCUACCCACAAAGUGCUUGAGGGCCAUAGUAUUGUUCGUAUGUGAAAACUUCUUUUUUU
rnacentral:sRNA from 1 species